UACGGGGGGGGCAAGCGUUGUUCGGAAUUACUGGGCGUAAAGGGCUCGUAGGCGGCCAACUAAGUCAGACGUGAAAUCCCUCAGCUUAACUGGGGAACUGCGUCUGAUACUGGAUGGCUUGGAUCCGGAAGAGGGAUGCGGAAUUCCAGGUGUAGCGGUGAAAUGCGUAGAGAUCUGGAGGAACACCGAUGGCGAAGGCAGCCCCCUGGGCUGACACUGACGCUCAUGCACGAAAGCGUGGGGAGCAAACAGG
rnacentral:rRNA from 1 species